rnacentral:rRNA from 1 species
UACGUAGGGUGCAGGCGUUAAUCGGAAUUACUGGGCGUAAAGCGUGCGCAGGCGGUUUGCUAAGACAGGUGUGAAAUCCCCGGGCUUAACCUGGGAACUGCGCUUGUAACUGGCAAGCUAGAGUGGGACAGAGGAGAGUGGAAUUUCGUGUGUAGGGGUGAAAUCCGUAGAUCUACGAAGGAAGGCCAAAAGCGAAGGCAGCUCUCUGGGUCCCUACCGACGCUGGGGUGCGAAAGCAUGGGGAGCGAACAGG